rnacentral:rRNA from 1 species
AGCGAACGCUGGCGGCAGGCCUAAUACAUGCAAGUCGAACGAACUCUUCGGAGUUAGUGGCGGACGGGUGAGUAACACGUGGGAACGUGCCUUUAGGUUCGGAAUAGCUCAGGGAAACUUGUGCUAAUACCGAAUGUGCCCUUCGGGGGAAAGAUUUAUCGCCUUUAGAGCGGCCCGCGUCUGAUUAGCUAGUUGGUGAGGUAAAGGCUCACCAAGGCGACGAUCAGUAGCUGGUCUGAGAGGAUGAUCAGCCACAUUGGGACUGAGACACGGCCCAAACUCCUACGGGAGGCAGCAGUGGGGAAUCUUGCGCAAUGGGCGAAAGCCUGACGCAGCCAUGCCGCGUGAAUGAUGAAGGUCUUAGGAUUGUAAAAUUCUUUCACCGGGGACGAUAAUGACGGUACCCGGAGAAGAAGCCCCGGCUAACUUCGUGCCAGCCGCCGCAGUAA